UUGGGAGAUGGAGCCAGCAACACGGAAAUGGAUCCUUGGAAGCCCAGGAGCUGCACCUGAUCCUUGGGAUCCAUGGAUAUGGAUAGACAGGACCAUGAGGCUCUAAAGAAUUCCCAGACUUCACUCCCUGCUGGAAUCCAGGCUGGGAUGGGAUCAAGGAGAGGGCAAUGAAAUUCCAGCCAAUAUUCCUGGCUCCAUCUCCAUGCAGGAGUGGUGUGGGAAUGGAGAUUCCUGAGGGAAGGUUUGGGAAGGUUUGGGAAGGUUUGGGAAGGUUUGGGAAGGUUUGGGAAGGUUUGGGAAGGGAAGGUUUGGGAAGGGAAGGGAAGGGAAGGGAAGGUUUGGGAAGGGAAGGUUUGGGAAGGUUUGGGAAGGGAAGGUUUGGGAAGGUUUGGGAAGGUUUGGGAAGGUUUGGGAAGGUUUGGGAAGGGAAGGUUUGGGAAGGUUUGGGAAGGUUUGGGAAGGUUUGGGAAGGUUUGGGAAGGUUUGGGAAG